rnacentral:rRNA from 1 species
UACGUAGGGGGCGAGCGUUGUCCGGAAUCAUUGGGCGUAAAGCGCGUGUAGGCGGCCCGGUAAGUCCGCUGUGAAAGUCCAGGGCUCAACCCUGGGAUGCCGGUGGAUACUGUCGGGCUCGAGUCCGGAAGAGGCGAGUGGAAUUCCUGGUGUAGCGGUGAAAUGCGCAGAUAUCAGGAGGAACACCGGUGGCGAAGGCGGGUCUCUGGGCAGUUACUGACGCUGAGGAGCGAAAGCGUGGGGAGCGAACAGG